CUUGGUCAUUUAGAGGAAGUAAAAGUCGUAACAAGGUUUCCGUAGGUGAACCUGCGGAAGGAUCAUUACCGAGUUCAUGCCCUCACGGGUAGAUCUCCCACCCUUUGUAUACCAUACCUUUGUUGCUUUGGCGGGCCGCCUAGCUACUGGCUUCGGCUGGUAAGUGCCCGCCAGAGGACCCAAAACCCUGAUUAUUAGUGCCGUCUGAGUAAAAUUUUAAUAUUUAAAACUUUCAACAACGGAUCUCUUGGCUCUGGCAUCGAUGAAGAACGCAGCGAAAUGCGAUAAGUAAUGUGAAUUGCAGAAUUCAGUGAAUCAUCGAAUCUUUGAACGCACAUUGCGCCCCUUGGUAUUCCGAGGGGCAUGCCUAUUCGAGCGUCAUUAUCACCCCUCAAGCUUCGGCUUGGUGUUGAGGCCUGCUGUAAAGGCACCCUCUAAAAUCAGUGGCAGUGCUGUCAGGCUCUAAGCGUAGUAAUUUCAUCGCUAUAGGGUCCUGGUGGAUACUCGUCAAAACCCCCCCAUUUUUUAAUGAUUGACCUCGGAUUAGGUAGGGAUACCCGCUGAACUUAAGCAUAUCAAUAAGCGGAGGAAAAGAAACCAACAGGGAUUGCCUCAGUAACGGCGAGUGAAGCGGCAAAAGCUCAAAUUUGAAAUCUGGCUCUUUUAGGGUCCGAGUUGUAAUUUGUAGAAGAUGUUUCGGGUGUGGCUCCGGUUUAAGUUCUUUGGAAUAUUACAUCAUAGAGGGUGAGAAUCCCGUAUGUGACCGGCAGCCUUCGCCUAUGUGAAACUCUUUCGACGAGUCGAGUUGUUUGGGAAU
rnacentral:sRNA from 1 species